rnacentral:rRNA from 1 species
AUGAACGCUAGCGGCAGGCCUAAUACAUGCAAGUCGAGGGGCAGCGGGAGUAGCAAUACUUGCCGGCGACCGGCGCACGGGUGCGUAACACGUAUACAAUCUACCUUUAACAGGGGGAUAGCCCGGAGAAAUCCGGAUUAAUACCCCAUAAUAUCAGAAUCGGCAUCGAUUUUGUUUGAAAACUACGGUGGUUAAAGAUGAGUAUGCGUCUGAUUAGUUAGUUGGUGAGGUAAUGGCUCACCAAGACCACGAUCAGUAGGGGAUCUGAGAGGAUUAACCCCCACACGGAUACUGAGACACGGAUCCGACUCCUACGGGAGGCAGCAGUAAGGAAUAUUGGACAAUGGGCGAAAGCCUGAUCCAGCCAUGCCGCGUGCAGGAAGAAGGCGCUAUGCGUCGUAAACUGCUUUUACACCGGAGAAAACCCCCCUACGUGUAGGGGGCUGAUAGUAUGGUGAGAAUAAGCAUCGGCUAACUUCGU